rnacentral:rRNA from 1 species
UACGGGGGGGGCAAGCGUUGUUCGGAAUUACUGGGCGUAAAGGGCUCGUAGGCGGCCAACUAAGUCAGACGUGAAAUCCCUCGGCUUAACCGGGGAACUGCAUCUGAUACUGGAUGGCUUGAGUUCGGGAGAGGGAUGCGGAAUUCCAGGUGUAGCGGUGAAAUGCGUAGAUAUCGGGAGGAAUACCAGUGGCGAAGGCGGCUUUCUGGGCCUGUUCUGACGCUGAGGAGCGAAAGCGUGGGGAGCAAACCGG